rnacentral:lncRNA from 1 species
GAGGACGUGUACGUAUGCGCGUUAGUGGGAUGUGGAUACCGGGAACUUACGGCGUGUUGGCCGAAGGCAACGUAAUUUUGUAAGAAAAAAUAGAGCUUACGCAACGAAACGUCUAUUUUUGAUUGAGGUGAGCCCCAAAAGGAAUUUCAGUGUUUCAUUUCUUCUGGUCUAGAGAAUUUGCUGGCAGCUUUUCAAAAGGAAAAAAAAGAUUUUGCUGGCGCAGAUCGUCGUUCGCUGGUUUUUCUAUGAUGAUCUAGCCAUGAUACCAGGGAGGAUUGAUGUAUACUUUAUUUUGGAGGAAAAUUAAGCCAAAAGAACCCAAACCUGGGAAAUGAGCCAUGUUCAUUUAAGUAUAUGCAGUUAUUAGUGGCCUGUCCAUAACAAAUAAUUUGGCCACUGUAAUUUGGCGGCCUAACUUGUGUGCGCAGCAAAGGAUCUUUUAUGUUUGUUCCGUCAAAAGAGGCUUUCCUGCAGAUUGAAGAAUAGCUUUGCCAGAAACAGC